rnacentral:rRNA from 1 species
GAUGAACGCUGGCGGCGUGCUUAACACAUGCAAGUCGAACGGAAAGGCUCCUGCUUGCAGGGGUACUCGAGUGGCGAACGGGUGAGUAACACGUGGGUGAUCUGCCCUGCACUUCGGGAUAAGCCUGGGAAACUGGGUCUAAUACCGGAUAGGACGAUGGUUUGGAUGCCAUUGUGGAAAGUUUUUUCGGUGUGGGAUGAGCUCGCGGCCUAUCAGCUUGUUGGUGGGGUAAUGGCCUACCAAGGCGUCGACGGGUAGCCGGCCUGAGAGGGUGUACGGCCACAUUGGGACUGAGAUACGGCCCAGACUCCUACGGGAGGCAGCAGUGGGGAAUAUUGCACAAUGGGUGCAAGCCUGAUGCAGCGACGCCGCGUGGGGGAUGACGGCCUUCGGGUUGUAAACUCCUUUCGCUAGGGACGAAGCGCAAGUGACGGUACCUGGAGAAGAAGCACCGGCUAACUACGUG